AUUGAACGCUGGCGGCAGGCCUAACACAUGCAAGUCGAGCGAGCGGCGGACGGGUGAGUAAUGUAUGGGGACUGCCCGAUAGAGGGGGAUAACUACUGGAAACGGUUGCUAAUACCGCAUACUAUCGGAUAACCCAUAUGGGAGUAGCUAGUAGGUAAGGAAAUGGCUUACCUAGGCGACGAUCCCUUGCUGGUCUGAGGGGAUGAUCAGCCACACUGGGACUGAGACACGGCCCAGACUCUUAGGGAGGCAACAGUGGGGAAUAUUGCAAAAUGGCGCAAGCCUGAUGCAGCCAUGCCGCGUGUAUGAAGAAGGCCCUAGGGUUGUAAAGUACUUUCAGUCGGGAGGCGUUACCGACAGAAGAAGCACCGGCUAACUCCGUGCCAGCAGCCGCGGUAAUUC
rnacentral:rRNA from 1 species